GAUGAACGCUAGCUACAGGCUUAACACAUGCAAGUCGAACGGAGUGCCUUUGAAAGAGGAUUCGUCCAAUUGAUAAGGUUACUUAGUGGCGGACGGGUGAGUAACGCGUGAGGAACCUGCCUUGGAGUGGGGACAACGGCUGGAAACGGUCGCUAAUACCGCAUAAAAUAUUUGAGCGGCAUCGCUUAAAUAUCAAAGGAGCAAUCCGCUGAAAGAUGGGCUCGCGUCUGAUUAGAUAGUUGGUGGGGUAACGGCCUACCAAGUCGACGAUCAGUAGCCGGACUGAGAGGUUGAACGGCCACAUUGGGACUGAGAUACGGCCCAG
rnacentral:rRNA from 1 species